GACGGAGGGUGCUAGCGUUGUUCGGAAUCACUGGGCGUAAAGGGCGCGUAGGCGGCCUUGCAAGUCGGUUGGUGAAAGCCCGGGGCUCAACCCCGGAGGUGCGGCCGAGACUGCAGGGCUGGAGGCCGGAAGAGGAGGGUGGAAUACCCAGUGUAGAGGUGAAAUUCGUAGAUAUUGGGUGGAACACCGGUGGCGGAAGCGGCUCUCUGGUCCGGACCUGACGCUGAGGCGCGAAAGCGUGGGGAGCAAACAGG
rnacentral:rRNA from 1 species